UACGUAGGGUGCGAGCGUUGUCCGGAAUUAUUGGGCGUAAAGAGCUUGUAGGCGGUCUGUCGCGUCUGCUGUGAAAAUCCAGGGCUCAACCCCGGACUUGCAGUGGGUACGGGCGGGCUGGAGUUCGGUAGGGGAGACUGGAAUUCCUGGUGUAGCGGUGAAAUGCGCAGAUAUCAGGAGGAACACCGGUGGCGAAGGCGGGUCUCUGGGCCGAUACUGACGCUGAGGAGCGAAAGCGUGGGGAGCGAACAGG
rnacentral:rRNA from 1 species